AGUGAACGCUGGCGGUAGACCUAACACAUGCAAGUCGAACGGCAGCACAGUAAGAGCUUGCUCUUACGGGUGGCGAGUGGCGGACGGGUGAGGAAUACAUCGGAAUCUACUUUUUCGUGGGGGAUAACGUAGGGAAACUUACGCUAAUACCGCAUACGACCUACGGGUGAAAGCAGGGGAUCUUCGGACCUUGCGCGAUUGAAUGAGCCGAUGUCGGAUUAGCUAGUUGGCGGGGUAAAGGCCCACCAAGGCGACGAUCCGUAGCUGGUCUGAGAGGAUGAUCAGCCACACUGGAACUGAGACACGGUCCAGACUCCUACGGGAGGCAGCAGUGGGGAAUAUUGGACAAUGGGCGCAAGCCUGAUCCAGCCAUACCGCGUGGGUGAAGAAGGCCUUCGGGUUGUAAAGCCGUUUUGUUGGGAAAGAAAAGCAGCAGGUUAAUACCCCGCUGUUCUGACGGUACCCAAAGAAUAAGCACCGGCUAACUUCGUG
rnacentral:rRNA from 1 species